rnacentral:rRNA from 1 species
AACGAACGCUGGCGGCAGGCCUAACACAUGCAGGUCGAGCGAGGACUUCGGUCCUAGCGGCGGACGGGUGAGUAACGCGUGGGAACGUGCCCUUUGCUACGGAAUAGCCUCGGGAAACUGGGAGUAAUACCGUAUGAGCUCGCGAGAGGAAAGAUUUAUCGGCAAAGGAUCGGCCCGCGUUGGAUUAGGUAGUUGGUGGGGUAAUGGCCUACCAAGCCGACGAUCCAUAGCUGGUUUGAGAGGAUGAUCAGCCACACUGGGACUGAGACACGGCCCAGACUCCUACGGGAGGCAGCAGUGGGGAAUCUUAGACAAUGGGCGCAAGCCUGAUCUAGCCAUGCCGCGUGAGCGAUGAAGGCCUUAGGGUUGUAAAGCUCUUUCAGUGGGGAAGAUAAUGACGGUACCCACAGAAGAAGCCCCGGCUAACUUCGUGCCAGCCGCCGCAGUAAUAC